GACGAACGCUGGCGGCGUGCCUAACACAUGCAAGUCGAGCGGAGACAGUAAGAAGCUUGCUUCGAGCUGUUUUAGCGGCGGACGGGUGAGUAACGCGUGAGCAACCUUUCUCUCAGUGGGGAAUAAUACAGGGAAACUUGUACUAAUACCGCAUGAGACCACAGAACCGCAUGGUUUAGAGGUCAAAGAUUUAUCGCUGAGAGGUGGGCUCGCGUCUGAUUAGAUAGUUGGUGAGGUAACGGCUCACCAAGUCGACGAUCAGUAGCCGACCUGAGAGGGUGAUCGGCCACAUUGGGACUGAGACACGGCCCAA
rnacentral:rRNA from 1 species